rnacentral:tRNA from 1 species
CCCUGGUUAGCUCAGUUGGUGGAGCACUCUACUGGAAAUGGAGAGGUCCCGGGUUCGAUACCCGGACCAGGCG